UGGUGACCAUAGCGAGUUGGAACCACCCCUUCCCAUCCCGAACAGGACCGUGAAACAGCUCCGCGCCGAUGAUAGUGCGGAUUACCCGUGUGAAAGUAGGUCAUCGCCAGGCU
rnacentral:rRNA from 1 species